UUGAACGCUGGCGGCAGGCCUAACACAUGCAAGUCGAACGGUAACAGGAAACAGCUUGCUGUUUCGCUGACGAGUGGCGGACGGGUGAGUAAUGUCUGGGAAACUGCCUGAUGGAGGGGGAUAACUACUGGAAACGGUAGCUAAUACCGCAUAACGUCGCAAGACCAAAGAGGGGGACCUUCGGGCCUCUUGCCAUCGGAUGUGCCCAGAUGGGAUUAGCUUGUUGGUGGGGUAACGGCUCACCAAGGCGACGAUCCCUAGCUGGUCUGAGAGGAUGACCAGCCACACUGGAACUGAGACACGGUCCAGACUCCUACGGGAGGCAGCAGUGGGGAAUAUUGCACAAUGGGCGCAAGCCUGAUGCAGCCAUGCCGCGUGUAUGAAGAAGGCCUUCGGGUUGUAAAGUACUUUCAGCGGGGAGGAAGGGAGUAAAGUUAAUACCUUUGCUCAUUGACGUUACCCGCAGAAGAAGCACCGGCUAACUCCGUGCCAGCAGCCGCGGUAAUACGGAGGGUGCAAGCGUUAAUCGGAAUUACUGGGCGUAAAGCGCACGCAGGCGGUUUGUUAAGUCAGAUGUGAAAUCCCCGGGCUCAACCUGGGAACUGCAUCUGAUACUGGCAAGCUUGAGUCUCGUAGAGGGGGGUAGAAUUCCAGGUGUAGCGGUGAAAUGCGUAGAGAUCUGGAGGAAUACCGGUGGCGAAGGCGGCCCCCUGGACGAAGACUGACGCUCAGGUGCGAAAGCGUGGGGAGCAAACAGGAUUAGAUACCCUGGUAGUCCACGCCGUAAACGAUGUCGACUUGGAGGUUGUGCCCUUGAGGCGUGGCUUCCGGAGCUAACGCGUUAAGUCGACCGCCUGGGGAGUACGGCCGCAAGGUUAAAACUCAAAUGAAUUGACGGGGGCCCGCACAAGCGGUGGAGCAUGUGGUUUAAUUCGAUGCAACGCGAAGAACCUUACCUGGUCUUGACAUCCACGGAAGUUUUCAGAGAUGAGAAUGUGCCUUCGGGAACCGUGAGACAGGUGCUGCAUGGCUGUCGUCAGCUCGUGUUGUGAAAUGUUGGGUUAAGUCCCGCAACGAGCGCAACCCUUAUCCUUUGUUGCCAGCGGUCCGGCCGGGAACUCAAAGGAGACUGCCAGUGAUAAACUGGAGGAAGGUGGGGAUGACGUCAAGUCAUCAUGGCCCUUACGACCAGGGCUACACACGUGCUACAAUGGCGCAUACAAUGAGAAGCGACCUCGCGAGAGCAAGCGGACCUCAUAAAGUGCGUCGUAGUCCGGAUUGGAGUCUGCAACUCGACUCCAUGAAGUCGGAAUCGCUAGUAAUCGUGGAUCAGAAUGCCACGGUGAAUACGUUCCCGGGCCUUGUACACACCGCCCGUCACACCAUGGGAGUGGGUUGCAAAAGAAGUAGGUAGCUUAACCUUCGGGAGGGCGCUUACCACUUUGUGAUUCAUGACUGGGGUG
rnacentral:rRNA from 1 species